rnacentral:rRNA from 1 species
AACGGCGAGUGAAGCGGCAACAGCUCAAAUUUGAAAUCUGGCUCUUUCAGGGUCCGAGUUGUAAUUUGCAGAGGAUGCUUCGGCUUCGACCUUGGUCUAAGUUCCUUGGAACAGGACGUCACAGAGGGUGAGAAUCCCGUACGUGGCCGUGGUCUUCGCCAUGUGAAGCUCCUUCGACGAGUCGAGUUGUUUGGGAAUGCAGCUCUAAAUGGGAGGUAAAUUUCUUCUAAAGCUAAAUAUUGGCCAGAGACCGAUAGCGCACAAGUAGAGUGAUCGAAAGAUGAAAAGCACUUUGGAAAGAGAGUUAAAAAGUACGUGAAAUUGUUGAAAGGGAAGCGCUUGCACCCAGACUUGCCCGCGGUUGCUCAGCCGGUCUUUUGGCCGGUGCACUCUUCCGCGGUCAGGCCAGCAUCAGUUCGGGCGGUCGGAUAAAGGCCUUGGGAAUGUAGCUCCCCUCGGGGAGUGUUAUAGCCCUCGGUGUAAUGCGGCCCGCCUGGACUGAGGUCCGCGCUUCGGCUAGGAUGCUGGCGUAAUGGUUGUAAGCGGCCCGUCUUGAAACACGGACCAAGGAGUCUAACAUCUAUGCGAGUGUUUGGGUGUCAAACCCGUGCGCGAAAUGAAAGUGAACGGAGGUGGGAACCUUAGGGUGCACCAUCGACCGAUCCUGAUGUCUUCGGAUGGAUUUGAGUAAGAGCAUAGCUGUUGGGACCCGAAAGAUGGUGAACUAUGCCUGAAUAGGGUGAAGCCAGAGGAAACUCUGGUGGAGGCUCGCAGCGGUUCUGACGUGCAAAUCGAUCGUCAAAUUUGGGUAUAGGGGCGAAAGACUAAUCGAACCAUUGGCCUUGACGCAAGAAAUGAAAAAAAAAGAAUUUCUCGCUGCUAGGUGGUUAAGAGGCGGCUCAAAGUGUCCGUCUAGUCCCUCCAUUCGGGGCAACAUCGUCAAAUUGCGGGGACUCCCUUAGAGCUCGAACUACCGCGGCCGGCCGAAAGGUGACGGUGCAGCACCGGGGUAAUGACCCAGGGGAUGGUAAAAACGUUCGAGAUUGGGUAAUCCGCAGCCAAGUCCUACCUCGCCUCGACAGAGCCGACACGGAUGCAGUUCACAGACUAGAUGGCGAUGGGUGGGACCCGAGCGGGUCCUGCUUAAGAUAUAGUCGAUCCCCCGCGGAAACGCGGGCGGCCGGGCAAAGCUCACAGGCGGAUGGGCGGCUUUCCUCUCCACGAGAAAGGAAGCCAGCGCCUGCUGGGCCCGAACCCGGGCGGAAGCGACACG